GAGUUUGAUCCUGGCUCAGAACGAACGCUAGCGGCGUGGAUAAGACAUGCAAGUCGAACGGGACCAAGUUUGUAGUAAUACAGACUUGGUUCAGUGGCGCACGGGUGCGUAACACGUGAGCAAUCUGCCGGGAAGUGGGGGAUAGCUCGCCGAAAGGCGAAUUAAUACCGCAUGUGGCCAUCCUUCGAGUGGAGGAAAAGCCAAAGCAGCAAUGCGCUUCCUGAUGAGCUCGCGGCCUAUCAGCUCGAUGGCGGGGUAAUGGCCCACCAUGGCUUUGACGGGUAGCUGGUCUGAGAGGACGACCAGCCACACUGGAACUGAGACACGGUCCAGACACCUACGGGUGGCAGCAGUCGAGAAUUUUUCACAAUGGGGGAAACCCUGAUGGAGCGACGCCGCGUGGAGGAUGAAGGCCUUCGGGUUGUAAACUCGUGUCAUGCGGGAACAAGCAAGUGAUAGUACCGCAAGAGGAAGAGACGGCUAACUCUGUGCCAGCAGCCGCGGUAAUACAGAGGUCUCAAGCGUUGUUCGGAUUCAUUGGGCGUAAAGGGUGCGUAGGUGGUGAUGCAAGUCUGGUGUGAAAUCUCGGAGCUCAACUCCGAAAUUGCACCGGAUACUGCGUGACUCGAGGACUGUAGAGGAGAUCGGAAUUCACGGUGUAGCAGUGAAAUGCGUAGAUAUCGUGAGGAAGACCAGUUGCGAAGGCGGAUCUCUGGGCAGUUCCUGACACUGAGGCACGAAGGCCAGGGGAGCAAACGGGAUUAGAUACCCCGGUAGUCCUGGCAGUAAACGGUGCACGUUUGGUGUGGGCGGGUUCAGACCCCGUCCGUGCCGGAGCUAACGCGUUAAACGUGCCGCCUGGGAAGUACGGUCGCAAGAUUAAAACUCAAAGAAAUUGACGGGGGCCCGCACAAGCGGUGGAGUAUGUGGCUUAAUUCGAUGCAACGCGAAGAACCUUACCUGGCCUUGACAUGCAUUGUGUCCCCGGUGAAAGCCGGGUAUCCUGCAGCAAUGUAGGAGCCUUGCACAGGUGCUGCAUGGCUGUCGUCAGCUCGUGUCGUG
rnacentral:rRNA from 1 species